CUAGUGUGAGGCUCUCCCUUGCCCUUUAUCCUCAACAUCCACCUAGUGUGAGGCUGUGAGCUCAACUUUGUAACGGUCCUUCACAAAGAAAAGGAAGAAGUCUUCUGUGAGGAACCAGGCAGAGCCGGAGAUGGCCGAGACGGUGGUAAGCAUGGCGAGGUCCAUGCUGGGAGGCGCCAUCAGCAAGGCCGCCUCUGCCGCAGCUGCCGAGCUAAGCUUGGUCAUGGGAGUGCAGAAGGAUAUCUGGUUCAUCAAGGACGAGCUAAACACGAUGCAGGCAUUCUUGGCAGCCACUGAAGCAACGAAGAACAGAGACAUGCUGCUCAAGGUGUGGGCAGAGCAAGUAAGCGACCUGUCCUACAACAUAGAAGAUUGCCUUGAUGAAUUUAUGCUUCAUGUGAGGAGCCAAAGCCUGAUGAAACGGCUGAUGAAGCUCAAAGAUCGUCGUAGGAUUGCUAUCCAAAUUCACAACCUGAAAUCAAGAGUUGAAGAAGUGAGCAGCAGGAAUGCACGCUACAACUUGAUAAAGAUAGAGGCAUCAACGACCAGUGACAAGGAGGUUUCUUAUAUAGAAGAUGUACGUAAUCACUCGGCAAGCAACACUGAUGAAAUAGAACUUGUGGGCUUUACAAAGCCUAGGGAGGAGUUGAUUAAGCUGAUGGAUGUCAACGCUAGAGAUGGUGAUGCCAAAGUUAUAUGUGUCGUUGGCAUGGGUGGUUUAGGCAAGACUACUCUUGCAAGAAAUACUUAUGAAAGCAACUUCUGGGUGGAGAUUCACUGAAGAACUUGUUGAAAGAACUUGAAGGGAAGGUGGUGCAAGUAAAGGACCUCGCCGAGUACCUCAAUCGAGAGAUUAAGGAUAAGAGGUACCUUAUUAUUCUUGAUGACUUGUGGACCCUAGAUGCAUGGAGGUGGAUAAAGAUAUUGUUUUUCCUAAUAGUAACAAGAAAGGUAGUCGGAUAAUAGUAACAACCCGUGAUGUGGGCUUAGCAAAGGAAUGUACUCUGGAAUCCCUUAUAUACUACCUUAAAACCUUAGAGGUAGUCGAAGCCACAAAUUUGCUACUAAAAAGAGUAGGAAAAUAAAUGAAGACAUAAAAACAAAUGAAAACUUCAAGACCAUAGUUGAAAAUUUUGUUAAAAAGUGUGGCUGUUUACCACUGGCCAUACUCACAAUUGGAGGAAUCCUUACCACUAAAAAAAUAAUAGAGUGGGAGCACGUCUAUAACCAACUCCCGUCUGAGCUUGAGAGUAACCCCGGCCUUGAAGCAAUGAAGAUGGUGGUUACUUUGAGUUACAACCACUUGCCAUCUCAUCUUAAGCCAUGUUUCUUAUACCUAAGCAUAUUUCCCGAGGAUUCGGAAAUCCAGAUGAGGCAUCUAGUAGAAAGAUGAUUGCCGAGGGGUUGAUUAGGUGUGGGACUGGGGUGAACAUCGAGGAUGUGGCAAAAGGUUAUUUCAAUGAGUUAAUCAACCGAAGCAUGCUUCAAGCAUCAAGGUUGAACAUAGAAGGAGUUGUGAAGCGUUGUCGAGUCCAUGAUAUUGUGCGUGAUGUCAUGAUCUCAGUUUCUAGAGAUGAAAAUUUUGUGCAUGUGGCGGGACAUAAUGUAACUGGAGCUACGGACGAGACCUUCCGACAUGUAGAAUACCAUGGUAGCAUGUGCCAAAAUAUAGAUAUGGAUUGGAGCCACGUCCAGUCAGUAACUGUGUUUGGUGAGAGAUCAUUGGGGCCAUCGCCUUCAGUUUGUUCACCUGGCAUGAGAAUGCUCCGGGCCUUGGAUCUAGAAAAUGCACAGUUUCAAGUCACACAAAAGGAUAUCAGCAACAUAGGAUUGUUUCGCCACAUGAAGUAUCUGAAGUUUUCUUACCCACCAGGGUAUUCACAUAUUUAUAAACUUCCUGGAUCCAUAGGGAGAUUGCAAGGCUUGCGCACUUUGAACAUUAGAGACAGUUAUAUUACAGAACUGCCAACUGAGAUUUGUAAACUCAAAAAUCUACACAGUCUUCGUUGUACCAGAAAUAAUUCCUAUGAAUACUUUGACCUGAAUGACACCAAGAAUUGCUUGUUGAGCACAUUCUGUUGGCCCGUGUUGUUCACACCUUUGGCAGAUCCUAGUGAGCGUGCCAGGUUAGUUACUGACCUACACAUGGCAUGGUCUAGCUGUGAGGGUCCCAAAAGGAAUUGGCAAACUAAAAGAGUUGCAAAUACUAGAGGUGGUGGACAUCAGCCGAACUAGUUGCAAAGCAAUUAAAGAGCUAGGUGAGCUUGUGCAGAUGAGAAAACUGAGUGUGGUAACAGAAGGGGCCACCAAGCAAAAAUGCAAGGUACUGUGUGAUGCCAUUCAGAAGCUCUCUUCCCUCCGCUCCCUUUCAGUGGAUGGUUCACUCGAGUGGCUGCAUGAUGUUUCCUCUCCUCCUCCCCUGUUGAGGAGUCUGAACUUGAAUGGAUGCCUUGGAGAUAUUCCUGGCUGGUUUGGCAAUCUAAUGCAUUUGGUUAAGCUUUCCUUAGGGGGCAGCGUAAUAAAGGAAGAAGGCAAACUCAUGAAAAUACUUGGGCCACUACCCAACCUCAUGGACCUUUUUCUUGGAAGACACUCUUAUAUUGGGGAGAAGUUGGUGUUCAAAACGGGAGCAUUCCCAAAUCUCAAGAAACUUGGUAUUUGUGAGCUGGUGGAACUGAGAGAGUUGAAAUUUGAGGACGGCACCUCACCCCAGCUGUCAAUGAUUGAUAUCAGUUGGUGCAAUUUGGCAUCAGGAAUUAUUGGAGUCAACCAGCUUCCAAAGCUUAAGGAGAUCGCACUUGGGUACGGUGGUCGAGUGGCCAAGUUUGCUUUGCUGCAAAGUGAAGUGGGUGCACAUACCAACAGUCAUGUGCUGCGACUGUCCUAGGAACGGAGCUACCACGACCUGGGAGGCACCGUCACCCAAGUGGGAGAAUCAACAGGGGAAUCCUCAUCUCUCCAUCCGGAGCCUGCAGCUGCAGGAGAGAGCUCACGGUGUAAAAUUGGUUGAAGUGUAUGCCUUAGCAGGGAUGCGUUGCGUGUUAUUUAUAGAUCAUCGGUACAAAGUCGGUAGUUCAGGUUGUUGGUGGAUUGAUCCUCAAGCUAAAAUCUAUACAAGAUAGAGAUCAAUCCUAACCAACCUAAACUACCUAGAGUACAACACACGCAACCCCUACUAUACGCGUACGUGGUUUAUACAUCACCACGUACGUACACAUUUACAUUGUCUAACACUCCCCCUCAAUCAUAACUUACCAAGUUGAGAUUGCUCUUGAAAUCUUCCAAUUUACGCCAUGAUAGGGCUUUGGUGAAGCCAUCUGCAACUUGAUCAUUGGUGGGAAUGAAACGAAUGUCCAGUAGCUUCUUGGCUACUCUUUCUCUCACAAAGUGAUAAUCCACUUCAAUAUGUUUCGUCCUUGCAUGAAAUACUGGAUUUGCUGAAAGGUAAGUGGCACCAAUAUUAUCACACCAAAGACAUGCAACUGGUGAAUGUGUCACACCUAACUCUUUUAGCAGAGUUUGAACCCAUAUAAUUUCAGCUGUGGCAUUUGCUAACGCCUUGUAUUCUGCCUCAGUACUAGACCUUGAUACUGUUGCUUGUUUGCGUGCACUCCAAGAUAUCAAGUUGGAUCCAAAGAAAACAGCAAAGCCACCUAUGGACCUUCUGUCAUCUGGACAUCCUGCCCAAUCUGCAUCUGAAAAGGCACUUACCAAUGUAGAACUUGACUUGGAAAAUUUCAGUCCAGUACUCAUGGUUCCUCUGAGAUAUUUAAGAAUUCUUUUUACUGCAGUCCAAUGUUCAAGGGUAGGAGAGUGCAAGAAUUGACAUACUUUAUUGACAGAGAAGGAUAUAUCAGGCCUUGUCAAAGUCAAGUACUGCAAUGCACCUACCACACUUCUGUAAUUUGUAGAAUCAUGAGCUCCCAAGAUUUCACCAUUUUCCUUAGAGAGCUUUUCGGAUGUGGACAGAGGCAUAUUUGACACUUUGCAAUUCAUCAUACCAGCACGUUUUAGUACAUCUGAUACAUAUUUUUCUUGAGUUAGAAGUAUACCAUCCUUGACCUUCUUCACCUCUAUUCCCAAGAAAUAGUGCAAGUCACCGAGAUCUUUUAAGGCAAAAUCCCUUCUGAGAUCUUCCACCAAUGCUGUAGUUCCCUCCUGUGAAGAGCUAGCCACAAUAAUGUCAUCGACAUACACAAGCAUAAAGAUGGUGAUCUUGCCUUUGCUAUAAAAGAAUAAUGACGUGUCGGCCUUUGAUGGUCUGAAACCAAGCUUUUGAAGUUUUUCACUUAACCUAGAAUACCAUGCUCUAGGUGCUUGUUUCAACCCAUACAAGGACUUAUCAAGCUUACAUACAUAGUGUUGCUUGUUUUUCACCUCAUACCCAGGAGGUUGUCUCAUAUACAUUUCUUCCUCUAGAACGCCAUGAAGGAACGCAUUCUGCACAUCCAACUGACGAAGACUCCAACCUUUUGAUACUGCAAUAGAUAGAACAAGUCUGACAGUAGCAGCUUUAACAACUGGACUAAAGGUGUCCUCGUAGUCAAUGCCAUAUCUUUGUUUAAAACCUUUUGCAACUAGCCGGGCUUUGUAUCUGUCUAUAUCUGCGAUAGCCUUUCUUUUAACUCUAUAAACCCAUUUGCAAUCAAUAAUAUUUCUGCCCUUGGCCGGAGGAACUAGGUGCCGAGUUUUGUUUUUGAUUAAUGCACUAUAUUCCUCAUCCAUUGCAUUUUUCCAUUGUUUACUUGCAAAGGCUUCAUGUAGACUAUGUGGUUCUUCUGUAGUAGUAAGACAAGCAAACUUAGUUUUACCAUACCUGACCGUACCAUCUGUACGUACUUUGGGUUUUGCAAUGCCAUGCUGAGAGCGCGUACGUCGAUUUUGUUCGGGUGCAGCAAUGGUUGACGCAGACGAUCCCGCAGCUGGCGCAGAAAAUCCCACCGGAUCUGUCGCAGAGGAGCCAGGGGCACCCGAUCCGAGACAGAUCUCGACAGGAUCAUUAGGCGCGCCCGAUCCGAGGCGGAUCCCGACAGAAUCAGCGGCAGACUCGGCAGACCUAGAGAUGCUGUCGAGGGCCCGCCGUUCCCCUGCGUCAACGCGCGGUGCAGAGGCCGCCACCUGGCGGCUCGGAGGGGCCGCCGUACCGCCCCUGGACCCGCCUGAUCCGGAGUGCGCUGUGGGGCUACUCCCAGCGGGCCCGCAGUCAGUGUCAUCAGGCGGAGGCGUGCGCAUGGGCUGGUCGCUGUCGCGCGUGGGCGAGCGCGUGGACUGGUCGCUGUCCCCACCUACAGGCGUGGCGGUCGAGAGAUUUUUCUCGGGAUCACCGCCUGCAGAACUGUUGCUGCCAGCGCCUGGAUCCUCCUCGUGUUCCGCGUCAGGCUGUUGCGGCAUAAAAUCAUGACGCACAACGGGAUUUCCUCCAAAGUUUAUGGCAGUAUUUGCAUGAAAAUUAACCGAUGGAUUAGCACUAAUUUCAUCCCCAUGAUCAAGAGGCUCAUUGGUGACAGAAUUUUCAGGAAGAAGAAGAACUUCUGACCUAAGGAGAGCACCGACAUUGGGGUUUAGUGAGGCAAAAGGAAACACGGUUUCGUCAAACACAACAUCACGAGAUAUAUAAACCCGUCCGGCAGCUACAUCCAAACACUUGAACCCUUUAUGGAGAUUGCUAUAACCAAGAAAAACACAACGUUUGGAGCGGAAUUCAAGCUUCUUAGAAUUGAAUGGGCGGAGAUUAGGCCAACAAGCGCACCCAAAAGUGCGGAGAGCAUGAUAAUUUGGUUUUUCCUGGAACAAUCGUUCGAGAGGUGUUUCAAGAUUUAUCACCUUACUGUGAGUUCGGUUGAUAAGGUAGGUGGCAGCUAUAAAAGCCUCAUCCCAAAAUUUCAAGGGCAUGGAGGCAUGUGCUAAUAGUGAAAGUCCUACUUCCACAAGAUGCCGAUGUUUUCUUUCGGCAGACCCAUUUUGCUGGUGCGCGUGAGGGCAGGAGACGUGAUGAGUGAUGCCAAUUUGCCGAAAGAAGAAGUUCAGACACUCGUACUCACCACCCCAAUCUGUUUGCAUGGUGAUGAUUUUACGAUUAAAGCGUCGUUCAACAAGAGCUUGGAAUUCAUGAAAUAUUUUGAACACUUCAGACUUAUGUUUAAGGAUGUAAAUCCAAGUGAACUUGCUGAAAUCAUCGAUGAAACUCACAUAAUAAUUCUUUCUAUUAAUAGAAUCUCGGGCAGGCCCCCAUACAUCAGAAAAAACUAGCUCUAAAGGAGCAUUGGAAACACUACUGGAAUUUGGAUAGGGGAAUUGGUGACUUUUGCCUUUUUGGCAAGCAUCACAUAUACUCUCUUUAUUCAACUCACUAUUUGAAAAGGAAAUUUUAUUUUUCCUAAGAACAUGUUGAACGAUUGUUGAUGAAGGGUGACCUAAUCGGCUGUGCCACCUUGAUGGAGAGACCUUGGUGGCACCAAACGCCUGCCUGCCCGAGCUCACAGGUGCAGAUGAAAGGGGAUAGAGGCCACCCCUACAUCUGCCUUGCAGAAGGGUUUUCUUCGUUGCCUUGUCCUUGACAAAGAAAUAGUGUGGAUGAGUUUCAAGAAAGGCAUGAUUGUCAUGAGAUAAUCGAUGAGCAGAGAUCAAGUUCUUGGUUGCUUUAGGAACAUGCAAUAUGUCUUUAAGAUGAAGAUUGCGAGUGGGGGUAUGAAUAUAGGCUUGACCAACAUGGCUAACUUUCAUACCUGCACCGUUGGGCAUGUUCACUUGAUCCUGGCCGAAGUACUUCUCCCUCAUGGUGAGCUUGUCAAGCUCACUGGUGAUGUGAUCUGUGGCCCCUGUGUCGACGUACCAGUUGGUGUCAACCCCGUAGGAGCUGGUGUUGGUGUUGACGGCCGCUGCGCUCUUCUCCUUGGUGAACGCAAUGUCGAAGCGGCGGUAGCACUCCAUAGCAACAUGGUUGGGCUUGGAGCAGAUCUGACAGAAGACCUCAGGGAGAUCGUUGCGGCCUCCUCCUUGACCGCGACCUCCACGGCCUUGCCCGCGGCCGCCGCCUCCACCUCUGCGGCCACCUCCACGUCCACCCCCUCGUCCGCCACGGCCACCACCACGAGAGACGGCGUUGGCGGAUGAGUGAGAGGAUUGAUGCCCACCAUCGAACAUGGCGAGCCUGUUCUCGAAGCCGACGAGGAGGGAGUAGAGCUCGUUCACCUUGAUCGGCUCGGCCCUGGCACACAGGGAGGAGACGAAGCCCAUGUAGUCGAAGUCUAGGCCGGCGAGUAUGUAUGACACCAUGUCAUGGUCGGUGAGGGGCUUCCCAACGGAAGCUAGCUCGUCUCCGAGCGCCUUCAUGCGGCCGAUAUACUCGGCGAUAGUGGAGGUGCCCUUCUUGGUGUUUGACAGGGCGAUCCUCGUGUUCACCACGUGCGCCUGGGUUUGGGAGAUGAACAUCUCCGUGAUGGCAGUCCAUGCUGCCGAGGCCGUGGUGCAGUGGGCGAUCUGGAUCAUCACAGGAGGUGAGACUGAAUUGAACAGAAAACUCAGAACCUGGGAAUCCUGCGCCCUGGCGAUCUCGUACGCCGGAUUGGGCGCAUCUGUUGGCUUGCCCUCCUUGUCCAUGAGCUUGGGCGCCGGCUCUUCUCUGUCGGGGUUGAUGUAGGCGACGAGCUGAGCGCCGCGGAUGGCAGCAAUGGCUUGGGCACGCCACACCAGGAAGUUGGAGCGAUGGAGGUGUUCGGCGAUGGGAAUGAGGGCUGGUGCAGCGGCGGCGGUGGUGGAGCUUGAGGCCAUGGCUAGGGUUUGGGAUGUGCUUAGAGGUUAGGCUCUGAAUACCAUGUAAAAUUGGUUGAAGCGUAUGCCUUAGCAGGGACGCGUUGCUUGUUAUUUAUAGAUCAUCGGUACAAGGUCGGUAGUUCAGGUUGUUGGUGGAUUGAUCCUCAAGCUAAGAUCUAUACAAGAUAGAGAUCAAUCCUAACCAACCUAAACUACCUAGAGUACAACACACGCAACCCAUACUAUACGCGUACGUGGUUAUCACCACGUACGUACACAUUUACAUUGUCUACCACACGGUCGCAAGCGGUGGGCAUGGCGACGGCAAACAUCAGCCAAGAUGAUGUGCUUUACACUUACAACUCGUGCUGACUGAAUUCGGAGCAAGCCCUCCAGCCAGUUUCACCAUAUUAUACUACUGGUUGUCAAUAUAAACUAGUGCUCCGUGUAGUGGAUCCAGAUUCAGGUGGGCACCCAAGAGCACCAUCAAGCUGCAGACAUUGUUCAUCCCAUUGUUGACAGUUACAAGAUGGUUUCACCAUACAGCGGAACAUCACAUCACGGAGCAACUAUGAGAUAUUUUUACUGUUCAAGCUCGACAAAUGUGAGAAAUUUUUAUUGUUCAACUGGAGCAACUAUGAGAUUUGAGCAGGGCAACUAUGAUUUAUGACGUUGGAGGAGUGAACAUCCCAAUCAGCGCCUGUUGUGAAUGGAGUAAGACUCUAGUACAGAACUGAGUGUGAUGUAAUGAUCUCAAGUGAAGCUGGAAGAUGAGGAAUCCGUUUCGAGUUCGCAAUACCCCACAGUUCAUGCACAUCUGGAGUGUCAACUGUGAAGGGCUCAUACUGAUAAAAUGAUUCAGCUGGGCAGAAGAAGAGGAAGAUCCAACAGAGUACAGAUGAUGCACCACUAAGGCCUAAGCUGCAAUGCUCAUCCUAAUGUCCAUAAUUAUAAGAUUGGUCACCACCUGCAAGAGAGGCCAGAUGAUUUCUCUGUGUUCUCUAUGUGCGGAAAUUUCCAGUAGGAUUCGUCUCUGACCUUUAAAUGUUCCCACGAUCUGGGAGCAAGCCACAACAUCAUUUCGAUGGCUGCCAGGCAACCAACCGAGGGUUCAAAAGUAAUACUUGCUGUGAAGCUCCCUACCCUUACGAUGGAACUGGUCAAGUUGACGCCAAAUUCUAAUUUCCCUGGAAUAUCAGGUGGCACCGUUCACUCGAUCAUUGCAUGAUCUACUUCUAGUGUACGGUUAUCAAUUUUUCGGUGCCACUAUAUUCUGUAAUUAUUUGUAAACGAAGUAUGAGGAGACAUGCUACUAUGCAAGCCAAUGGAACUUGUAAAGUAGCCUGAAAUGACUGCUCUGUUUUUCACCUGUAACAUCAUCUGGACAUACCAAAUCAGCUAUGUGGUUUUCGUUGGUGUCACUCUGCAAUUAACUUGCAGUUUCCAUAUUGCUCUUGUCAACUACUCCGUUUAAAGGUCAGAGACGAAUCCUGCACGGGACUAGAUCCAACAUCAUGCCAGGUUUGUACUCUUGCCAUUAAUUUCUCCGUGAGAACAUCUUCUCGCGGACUGUUAUCAUGGUGUUGUAACAAAAAGUAUGACUGCAAGGAACAGAGGCGAGGGAGCAAACAUGCAGAUGAUGAUCAAUUCUAUGAAAACAACACCAUGGAAUGGAUGGUCAACCAACCUUCAGCAAGGGCGUGCAGUUGUCAGUGCAGACUUCCUUCGUUUGCUGUGCCCCCUACUCUGUUUUGUCCUUUUCUUUUCUUUCUUUUUUCUUUUCUGGAGAAGACUAUUCUCUUUUGCUGCUCCCAAAAUAUCUGUUUUUAUUUUUGCCGUAUAUAAUUUCCAAAACACCAUUAUCAUCGUUUGGCCCCCCAAAGUCAAGUCAUGAUCAUUUGCUUGGCUCCCCUUGGUCUGGUCCACAGGGGAAAAUGCUCGGAUAUUUCACAAGCAAAUCAAGGGCCACAAUAAUGGACGCGCCUAAUCUGCACCCGAGCUCAUAUGCUCCCGCAUGA
rnacentral:rRNA from 1 species